UUCGUCUUUUAAUUAAUUAAUUAAUUAUUAUGUCUUACAUUUAAAAUUUAUUUUAAACCUAAAUAAUAUUAAUAUUAAUAAAAAAAGUAAUAAUUUAUUGUAUUUAAAAAUAUAUAGCACAAAUUACAUAAAUACCCUCAACAAAUUUAUUUGGUAAAUGUUAAAUAAGGGCAAAAUGGACAUUUUACACUGGUGCAAAAUGGUGCAAAGUUUGGUGUUGGAUUGGAGCAAUUUUGCACAAAAAAAUGGUGCAAAAUGGUGCAAUAGUGUUGUGGUUGGAGAUGCCCUAAGGGCAAACUAUUGUUUCCUUUAUUAUACCUUAAAUUUAAUGUAAAUACAUCUCUCUUGUUCAAACAUACACAAAGAGAACAAGAUUCAAUCUUUAAACCAUAAUUUAACAUAUAAAAAAAGGCCGUACCAUGAUCAAUGUAUACUUUUCCUAAACACCAAAUUAGACAAAUCAAAUCAACAUGGUGGCAACAGGCAAACCAUAGUGUACUUCAUUAUACCUCAAAAUUAAUGAAAAUACACAUCUAUCGUCUUCACAAACAUGAAGAGAAAAAGAAACAAUGUUAAACAGUAAUUAAGCAUUCCAAUCAAUCACGGUCGUACUGAAUAUAAUGACAUAAAAACACAUCAAUUGAGCGUGCGCAUGUUCAAUCAAAUACGAAUAAAGAAAAUACCUUUGGAUUGAAUGAGGGCUUGAAAGAGUAUUUGGGCGAGUUGUUGGGGUUUCUGGGCAGAAUCACGACUGCGGCACUCAUAGACGGCUAUUCGAAGAGCGGUCCAUCGGGAGAGCACCAAAUUUAUGCCCUCGUGUAGCUGAGCAGCCGCCUCCGCAGUAAGCACCAGAUUCUUAUUUGUGCCCACCAUUACUUUCUUAUGUGAUUUUCCACUUUUUGGCUCAGUGAAAAUGCCAAAACCCUACUACUCUCUGGAGUUCUUGAGUUUACAGUUUGUAAAAAAAUAGUAUUAAAAUAACAAGCAACUGAUGCAUAAAAAUUUAAAAUCUUGUAAGAAUUUUUAUUUACAACAACUUUUAUUAAAAUCAACUAAAAAUCCAUUUUUUUAAAAACCAAAUAGGAGCCAAAUUGCAACCCUUAAAUCAAAUUUCAAACUUUAUCCCUCAUCCUUUCUAAUUGGGUUCGUUGAUUCAUUUGCUAAACUUCUUGGAGUUGAUAUAGUAACAAAAGUACCAUACAACCACAAAAUUUUUUGAGCAGGUUCUUGCAUUGAUGUGUACAAAGCCUUAAUGCCGGAUAAAAGGGAUUCAGGCAGAGAAUAAAAACAGUUCGAAAGAAGCAGAAUUGCAGAACCUUUGCAAGAAGGAGAAUAGAAGAAGAAGACGGCAGCACGGGGAAAGAAACACGGAGAAGAAGGACAAGUUAGAGAGAAAGAGGAACGAAAACUUGAGGCACAAACGUAUCAUUCAUUUUAAUCGUUCAUUAAGUGUUUCAAAUACGCAACAAAAUAGAAGUAAAUAGUAAAACAAAAGCCCUAAAAAGAAGGACUGGGCCAAACCCAAGCCCUAUAAUAAAAACAUAAAUAAUAAUUCAAAUAGAAUAUAAA
rnacentral:lncRNA from 1 species